rnacentral:rRNA from 1 species
AUAAAAUUCCAGCUGCCAUAGCGGAUCUUGAUAUCGCUGCAGUUAAACAACUCGUAGUUGGAUCUCGGGAUCGAGCCGUCGAACAGCCGCCGGGCCGACCACCGUCUGUCCCAGCCCCUGCCUCUCGGCGCCCCUACGAUGCUCUUAGCUGAGUGUGCCGCGCGGUCCGAAGCGUCUACUUUGAAAAAAUUAGAGUGUUCAAACCAGGCGCCGUCGCCAGUAAACCGCAGCUACGAAUAUUGGAAUAGAACUCCGGUUCUAUUUUGUGGGUUUUCUUCUCUGAACUGGGGCCAUGAUUAAGAGGGACGCCCGGGGGCAUUCGUAUUGUGCGGCUAGAGGUGAAAUUCUUGACCCGGCAGAAGACGGACGAAAGCGAAAGCAUUUGCCAAGAAUGUUUUCAUAAUUCAAGAACGAAAGUCGGAGGUUCGAAGACGAUCAGAUACUGUCGUAGUUCCGAUCAUCA